CUGCGGUCCACGGCGCCGGGCCGCAUGGAGGGGCUGAGCAGGCUGCCCCCGCCGCACCUGCCAAGAAGGCGCCCUCUGAGUGGCUGCCGCGACGAGGGGCCGAAGGGCAUCAGCGGCUCGGGCUCCCCGCGGGGCGGGAGCAGCGGGGCCAGCAGGCUGACUGGCUUGCCGGCCGGCCAAUCGGGGCGGCCCGCCAGCCGGGUGCCCUUCGGUGAUUGGUCGGCGGCCGAGGCGACGGGACGGACGGCGUCCCCCGGCGUCAGCUGCAUGAGGGGAGGGGGCUUCGGCAGGGAGAACGGCAGCGGCUGCGGGGAGGCCGUGGCCGCCGCCGCCGCCGAGUCCCCUCCGGACAUCCUGGCCGCCGGGCCCGCCGCCGGGAGCCCUUUCCCGCCUGCCCUGGCGGCCGCCGGCCGGGGACGGCGAGGAGCGGGCGGAUAGAGAGAGAAAGGGAGGCCCCGCGGCGGAGCCGAGUAGAGAAAGCGGCGGCCGGCCGGCGGCGGAGAGCAACGGCGGGAGCGAGCGCGGGGCCGGGCCGCGGAGCUGGCGCGGGGGGAAGCUGCGGCGGGGGCCGAGCGCAGGGAGCGCUGGGAAAGCGCUCACGUGGGCUGCGGGCGGGCGGCACCAAGAGCGCCGCGCAAAUAGGGGUGUGGCGCGGCGCACCUUCCGCCUCUCCCGCCUCGACGGAACGGGAGGACGCGGCCGCCUCCCCUCCGCCUUGCGGCAGGUGGUGCGUGCCGGCACUCAGGCCCGGCCUCGCCACGGCCCCCCCGCGCGGCGCCGGCUUGGUAUGCGCCGGGCUGCGGCAGCGCGGCAAGGCGGGCGCGGCCCCCGGCAUCGCCGCGCCGUGGUAGGCGCCUCCGGGGGCGGGCUGUGGCCCGGCUCGGGGAGCGGAGCCUGCCGGUACUCGUGCGGCCCUGCGGGGCUGUCCGUCUCCGGGUCGCUCCUUUGCAGCUCUUCCCGCUUCGGCUUUUCCUUCGUGUUCGCGCAGCGCUCUGUUGGCGGGGCUGACGGACAAAGGGCGGUGUGGGAGCGGGGUUGUCGGGCUGAGCCUGGCGGGGCAGCUGCCUGAUGUGCGCCCGUCUGACUCCUGUGCCGGGGAGAGCUGUGGAGAAAGGCGAGGCUUUGUGCUUUGGAGCCCCGUCCUGCGGCCUCGCUGGGCUGUGAGGGGCCCGUCCUGUGCUGGGGAGGGCGUGGGAGAGCACAGGGAGACCAGCGGCAGGGAGAGCUGCAGGUUGGCAUAACGGCCCUGCGGGUUUAACUGAAACGAGGGGUGAAACGCCACUCUUAGUUCUUCAGUGAAGUGCUACAGCACAUAACGUUGGAUUUCUUUCAUAUAGCUUGUUAUAAGAACAUACGUUGUAUAAUCAAUGAGUAUAUAGACGUAAAAUCAGUGACAAUACAGAGAAGAAUACUGGGCUUACCAAAAAAAAGACUCCACGAGGAGCCAUCUCCAGGGAGAGACCCCUCCCCAGCGGCAGUCAGCCCUGGAAUGGGCUCUAGCAGAGGUGCAGCCUGGCUGCAGCCCUUCCACUCACACAGCUCAACUGCCUUCACCUGUGCUCCCACGGCUGACUCAGCGCUCGCCUCAGGUGGUCAAUCAGAGGUUCAGGCCGUGAUUCAACAGGGAGCAGCACGCCAGCACUGUUUCCUAGAACCUGUCGCUUACUGUGCAGGUGAGCUCAGUGUAACUGCGUCUGUAGUUUCUCAUAAUCGGUUGUGACUGUGGCCCUUUAGAUGUGCUCUCCAAAAGAAGCACUGCUAGAAGUGUGAUGGCUUCCAAAUGUGGAAGCAUUUCUGCAGGUGUCCUGCUCUUGUCUUUUAACAAGUCUGUUCAACAGUAGGCCUAAGUUCCCUUCUGCUACCAAAAUCCAGGAAUGAAACUUGACGACGUGAAUGACAGAUUAGGAAGCAGAUAUUACUUUAUUGCAGUGCUUGGUGCGUGAGGGAUUGCUCCUCACCAUCUGAAAGCACACAGAUUUUGUAUGCUUUAAUACACAAAUAUUCAUAGGGUUUCCUCAGAGUGCCCACCUAGUCCCAGAAUUGCUAUACAUAUUAAAAUCUGGUACUAUGCAUAAACCCAUGUUAGUGUGGUUUUUUUGCAAGGGGGCCUGUGGUGGUUGUGAGGUUCCACUGGGAGGUGCUAUCCAGGUGAAGGGUUGUCUGUUAUGUAGGCCAGGUCCUGUACUUGGUCAAGAACCUAUUUACAAAACCAUGACCGUUGACUUAGUUUCUAAUGAGCACAUCAAUCUUGUUACAGUGCUUGUAUCAUCAGCCCUACAGUGUACCUCCUCAAGGCUGGUGAAAUGCUGAGGCUCUACUUUUAGGCUCCAGAAGUCCUGCUUAUCUAGGACAGAGUCUUCUCUAGACAAAAUACCAGUCGGCUGAAGAGUUUGAACUCAUUGCUAAAGGCUCUGAACUUAUUGCCAGGUAUGAAUAUGAGGAUUUAUAGGGUUUUUGCAAGAUGGGAUCCCACAAAGAUCGCAAGCUAUCAUUUGUGACUGCAGCGAGACUGUACUGCUGCAGUGGUAUUCUUUGAGGGGAACCUGAAAUCUGCUGAUAGAAAUGGUUUCUCUGCCACUAGUUUUCAUUAAAGCCAAAUGUAUCUGUGAAGUUAAUUCAUUAUCUCAUAGUAAAGAACAGCUCACACACGUAAGCUGAAUUUGUUUUGUGAAAUGCACAGAUUAUUUUGCUUACAGGGUUUUAAAAUAUACUGUCUCCAGGCUGAACAAAUGCCUAGUUUCACUGGGCCCAGGUGAGAACAUCUGAUUAGGAGUUCUCAUCUAAAUAAGGUAUGAAAUUCCCAGCCAGCUCUCCAGUGAGGGCUGAAUACAUGUGAAGAGAGCAGCAAAAUGUGUGUACCUCCAUCGAAUCUCUGUAGGUAAGCAUUAUCUUGACACUUUCAGCUGGUUUUCAGAGGUGUAUUAAGAACAGCUUAAAGAUACAAAGCACAUUUUCACAUUCUUGUUUGAAAGAUGGACACAGAAGUAUUAUGCAGGUGGUACUUGAACCACAUCCCUUGGCUUCUAACCUUCACUGUCUUUUUGGUCGAGCCUCAGUUAUAAUUUUACUAAGAAAUAUAUUGAAUAUGCUCAAAUUGAUGUUAACUUCCAUUGUCACCAAAGGAGGGCAUUUAAAACCGUGAAUACUAUCACAGGAAGACUGAGCUGUUGAUUUGUAACGGUGAUUUUGCUUUAAUAUGCACUUCUGCCACGUUGAAGUUCUCUAAGUUUAAUCGCUGUGUGAUAAGAAGAGGCAGCUUGUAGACAGGAUAUUAAACCUUGAUUUCUAUCAUACCAAACAAUUGCUGUAUCUUCACCACUUCUUAAAACUGACAUCCUUUCCUUUCAGGUUGACGUGUCCUACUGUAUUAUUUAAGACUUGAUUAUUGCAGUUGAAAUUGGGUUGUUUUUUUUUAGUGCAAAACUAUGUACUUUAAUGGCUGUAUUUCAUCCAUCUUCACUGUGAAUCUGAAUCUAACUUGAUGUCUCACAAACUGCCCAGUUGAUGCUUUCCUGGCCAGGUUUCCAUGUGAACAGGGUGAGCACACAGCUAUGUAGUGUGUCACCAAUCCAAUUGCAGGCAGCACAGUGCUUGGGAAAAGCUUUACCUGGUGUUCAUCAUGAGUAGGAGUCGUCCCCACCUGUGAAGCCUGGGUUCCUGAUGGAGAAGUUGCUGAUCCUCCUCACCUGUGUCAUCUGAGUGGUUUAGAGGAAUCAUGCCAUCGGACACAGAUCAGUAAUGCUUGUUGCUUGAUCCAACUGCUGUAUAGCUGAUGAAUUCAUGGAUUUAAGACAAAUAAUCCGUAUUUCAUUACUAGCAAGUGCUAGAAAUAAAAAUGUACUCUGCACUAUUGCUUGGAAAAACAAAUCCUGAAGUCGUAAGAGAGGAUUAAAGUUGGAAAAAAAUCUCUCAAGAGAAAAACGAAGGGAGUAAUGACAUCUGCUUAGCAGCAUCCAGCCCCUCAGCCUGCAGCACGGACCUCUGGAGCCCUUACACACGGAAUAAAAGGGGAUGCAGUGAGUGAGGAGCAGCAGAACUGCAAGCAGAGCAGCGCUACUGGUGGUGGUGUUCUACCAUGGCAGUAAACAAAGCCAUCGGUUGCAGACUUCUGCACCAAUUCAGGUGGCUCCAUUGAAGGUGUAAGAUUGGAGGUGUGAGGUUUCUCAGCAGUGGGACGUUACCACCUAGCUGUGAGCUGGCUUUGCUCUGGUGGGCGUCCUGCUGUUCCCCCACAGUGAGCUGUGUUCUGGUUCUGUUGGAAGGCUGCCCGGUCCUUCUGCCGGGUUUAUAUUCCACUUAAACGCGUGGCUAUUCAAGUGACCAACCUUUUGGAGUGUCUCGUUUGGCUUUGCCUUAAACGUUUGCUGCUCCUACCCCUUCCCCCCUUCCUACAGAGGCCUUUUUAUAGGUGGCCUGUAGUGCCAUAUAGUUUUUGCUUAGAGUUGAGCAUUUUCCUAAGCUUAUGGGGUUAACCACGAUUAUGGGAGAGUUCUUGAAGCAUUUUUGAAUGUAAUGCUUUUAUUUAAUGUUUGUAAGCAAGUUCAAAGGUGUCAGAUACAAAUGUCCCAGUAUGGCACAAGGACGAGACGUGGCAUUGGGGAUUGGGCUGUUCUGUUGCUAGUGCACACAAAUGUGGCAAUGAACUUUUUCCCUCGUGCUUUAGAGCAUUAAAACAGCUGUUUUGGAUCAGAGCAAAGUGGGCAGCAGCUGUGGCAGUGAUCUGCCUGUGAUUAGUGGGCUCAGGCACUCGUGGAGUCACAGAUGGGCUUUGUGCUCUUAAGGGCACUGUGCUUUUAGGGCUCCCGCUUUUGCACCAGUGUGCUUCUUAAAGUGCUAAAAGUUUUCCCAGCUGGAAGUCCUCACAGCAUCACACAGCAAAGAGCUCUGGGUAUCAGCAUCCACACAAAGGCACCGCGCAGUCCGCCUGUGUUCCAAUGGGCACAAACAGCACUGAUUGCGUAUUAAAGCCAUUGUCACCAUCACAACCUGGGAGGAGAGCAGAGUGCCAGGACGCUGCAGGACCCCGAAGAUUAUGUCUUAUAAAUAAACAGCUCAAAUUUGUCUGAAGCCUCAGCGUGCGAUGUAUGGAGCGUUGCAUUCUGACCGUGUUACGCCAAGAUUGCUGCUAAUGGCUUUUGGCAGCACAGCCACCAAGUCAGAAAGCUGAGAUGAUUGCAGAUUGUCUGCUUCCAUACACAUCAUACAGCUGCCUGGAAGACGGUGGAGGCAGCGCCUAAUUGAUGUUUGUUCUUGUCAAUGCGUGAUCGGGUUUUGAUGCAAGGUUCUCCUCUUUUGUGCUCUUCUGGUCAAAUUUUCGUUUAAAUUUGUAUUCUGUGCUGAACAGUAGUGCCAGCAGAACCAUAAGCGAGGAGUUUAAAUUUAGGAUGUGUUGCAGAAAUCCAAAAAUGCUUUACUGUUUGGGUAAAAACGUUUUUGUGUUUUUUUUUCCCCUUCAGCUGCUGCUCUGCAUGCCGUAAAACAGCAAUCCGAAGGGUUUGCUCUGAAAGCAUCUCUUUGUGCCCUGGGCCAGUGACCCCACUGCUGUGCCAGUAAAUCAUGGCAAGCUGGAGGAAUCUCCCUGAUUUCUGAGCUCCUAAUCCCGCAAAGCCUGUAAAUGAUGGCUGGCUUAGCUUUGUUUCUGAUAAAACGAGGCUUAUGAGAUGAUGACAUUUGCUGCCUGUUUCUCCUCCGCUCCGUUCCGUGUCACCACCCAAGAGAUCUCUGGAGCCCAUCAGUGCAAGGCUGUGUGCCUAGUGCUACAACACUACCGCGUGCUGGAGAGCAGGGAGGAGCCUGGGUGAAUGUAUGGGAAUGAAUUUGGCUGUGUUAGCACUCCGAUCCCCUUCUGCAUGAUGUGCUUCCCCUGUUCUGCAGUGUCUGAUGCAGGUAUUGGGUCAGCCCAGUGAUGUUUGCUUCCUGGAGAGCACGCAUGGAACCUGCUGAUGGAGUUUGUUAACAGCCCCGCUGUUCCUUAAGCCAAGCUGGGUUUUUGCUUUGAUAAAACCUCUGGGCAUGGUGUGUGGCUGUACAGAGUGUGAGAACUCAGGGAGGUUCUUUACUCUGAGAGUGGCGAGGUGCUGAACAGCUGCCCAGAGAGGCUGUGGAUGCCCCGUCCAUCCCUGGAGGUGUUCAAGGCCAGGUUGGAUGGGCCCUGGGCAGCCUGGGC
rnacentral:lncRNA from 1 species